rnacentral:lncRNA from 1 species
CUUCACAAACCUUCCGCCUAUCAUACCAUAGGUCAACCGUGAUUCAGCAAAGUCAAACCGUUGGCGGUUUUCCUUGAAGUGAAGGUCCUUCUUUAUGCCAGUGAAGGUUGAAUUGGAUUCAAGCAGCACAAAUUCUGACACAUAUGGGCUAAGCUCGUGCCAACGGAUAUCAAGGAUGUCAAGCUCAUUGCUGAAGAGCACAGCAUCGAAGACACGGCGUGGAGUCUCCC